CAUAGCAUUGUGUAGAUACCAGUCCCAUUGACCAACGAAAAGAGAAGCAAGCAGUUGUACCUGAAUGCAUGCACCUUCAAACCAACAAUGACAAAGAUGGAAAUACUAUGGAUGUCAGGGAUUACAAUAAGCGUGUUGAACUUGAUAUAGAUAUCAAUAUAGCACCAUCAAACGACGAUAAGCAACAACACAUUAAAGAGUUCCAAGACACAUUGCACCCAUUAGACAUUACAAGGCAAAAGUACUUCUUUGCAGACGAUAUGACACCUAGCUGCCGGAUACUUCCAGAC